AUUGAACGCUGGCGGUAUGCUUAACACAUGCAAGUCGAACGAUGAGAAAGAGCUUGCUCUUUCGAUUAGUGGCGGACGGGUGCGUAACGCGUAGGAAUCUACCUAUUAGUGGGGGACAACUUAGGGAAACUUAAGCUAAUACCGCAUACGCCCUACGGGGGAAAGAAGGGGAUCGCAAGACCUUUUGCUAAUAGAUGAGCCUGCGUAGGAUUGGCUAGUUGGUGGGGUAAAAGCUCACCAAGGCGACGAUCCUUAACUGGUUUGAGAGAAUGAUCAGUCACACAGGAAUGUAGAAACGGUCCAGACUCCUACGGGAGGCAGCAGUGGGGAAUAUUGGACAAUGGGCGAAAGCCUGAUCCAGCAAUACCGCGUGUGUGAAGAAGGCCUUAGGGUUGUAAAGCACUUUCAAUUGGAAGGAAAACCUCGAAGCUAAUACCUUCGAGUUUGACAUUACCUUUAGAAGAAGCACCGGCUAACUCCGUGCCAGCCGCCGCCGUAAUAC
rnacentral:rRNA from 1 species